GGCUGCUCCUAGUACGAGAGGACCGGAGUGGACGCAUCACUGGUGUUCGGGUUGUCAUGCCAAUGGCACUGCCCGGUAGCUAAAUGCGGAAGAGAUAAGUGCUGAAAGCAUCUAAGCACGAAACUUGCCCCGAGAUGAGUUCUCCCUGAGCCUUUAAGGCUCCUGAAGGAACGUUGAAGACGACGACGUUGAUAGGUCGGGUGUGUAAGCGCAGCGAUGCGUUGAGCUAACCGAUACUAAUGAACCGUGAGGCUUAACCUU
rnacentral:rRNA from 1 species